rnacentral:antisense_RNA from 1 species
CUUGAUGGAGCCGAGCAGCAGCGGACGGCCCUCGGGCCGGUCCUGCCCGUACGUCGCCAGCAGGGCCUGCGCCUC